GCAGACCUGUGAAGAAGACAAGCAAGACCAUUAUGUGCAUUUUGGAAAAUAGGUGUUUAGGGUUCAAAAAAAAUUAAUUAACUUUCCCAAGGUCAUAAAACUAGCAGACAGUUGAAGCAGAAGCAAGCCAAGAUCUUCUGAGUCCUGUCCACAGCCUCUAUUCUUUAGGCUACAGUGACUCCAAAUUGACUUAGGAACUCUAGACAGAAGUCUCUGCAUUUCAUCACCAACCUGAAUGACCAGAUUGCCACCCGUGGAAUUCCCUUUGGAGCAACAUGUGCUUGGAGACGCUAGAGGAUAAACACACAAUCCCUGCCCUUAAGAAGUCCACAGACUUGUCACGCGAUAACUGCAAUGCUCAAGACAAGUCAUAUCUACUGCGAGUGCUAUGACAGAAUUGAGGUAAUUAAUAAGAAUAUUAAGCAACAUUUGUUGAGCAUUUACUAUGCACCAGGUUUUGUCCUCAACACUUAGCUAUGCCGUGAGUAGCAUGAUACACCACAAUGCUUAGCACACAGCCAGAGUUUAAGCACUGGCAGACAUUUUGACUAUAUUCUUACAAAUAAAAUCGGGGGUUCUCACCCACAGAAAAAGGAAAGAAUGCUUUACACGUAAAUUACCUAGAAUAACGUUGAGGAGAAGCAGAUGGAUCUCCUGAGACAUGGGAUCUGAGGGAGAGAUGGUGUUAAAAUAAGUAGACGCAGCCGGGGCGGGGGUGGGGGGCAGAUAUUAUUCUACCAUCAUGGGAGCAAAGGGUUGGGGCAUGAGCAGCACCAAGGUGAGGGAGAGGUAUGGAGAGUAAACAUUAUGUUAGGUCAGCCAGAGACUGGCUACAAAAGCAGGGCCUGCAGCUAGAUAGCCCAGAGAGGCUGAGCCCUCCCCAGCCUUGACCUGGCUCCAAGGGAGGCCCAGAUGGUCAAGGCUAUUUGUUUGUAGGUUACAUUUUUUUCCUGAACAGACUCCAAAUCCUAGUUUCCAAAGAAAAGAGAAAACAGACUUAUUGGGUCAAAGGCUUUCCCUGAGAAAUGUCCUUGUGGCUAUGUGCCAGCACAGGAUUCCCCCAUAGACCAGACCAGCAGUCGGCAGGCUGGAGCCUUCCUCAAACCCUCCAGUAAGUCAGGGAUUAGAAGUCAUUCCCUGGGAGACUUUCGGCAGAGUCAUGUGCCCAGCAGCUCUGCCCCAGUAUUUAAGCCCGCCCAGCUUUGGCAUGCAUCCUGGUGACGUCUCAGUGCCUCACAGGCCCGCCCUUUCCUGUUUGGCAUAGCCCUGUGCUUCCUGCCAGGCCACAUCUCCUCUGAGUGUUCCCUAAGAGUGGUGUUCCCAACCCUUGACCCCAAAACCAGGGUACGUUGUGGCUUUGACUUCCGCAGCUGGACAGAGCCAUGGAAGUGCCUCUGCUGGCAGCCAUUCCACUGCCCUGUAGGGGCAGCACUGCCUGUCUACUCUCAUGCCCCAGCACCCCCUGCACACCCCUACACACCCCCUAUCUAUGAGCCUGUCCCAAACAAAGGGUGGGAGGAGACGGGCAAUGUACCUGCGUGCAGAUGAUAAAAGGACCUAGGGGUAUUAUGUGUUCCAAACUUCAAAAGGUUAGGCAAAAUUCAAUGGGUCAGGUUUUGUUUUGUUUUAAUCACACACAGGGAGCUCUGCAGUGCCGCAGGAAGUGGAGGGUGGGGAAAGGAUAUUUCUUUCCUGACUUGUGGUUAGGGAAGAACUAGGUCUUCUAAGUCAGAGACCUCUGCUCAAAUCCCUGCUCUGCUGGCUACCAUCUCCUGUGUAACCCUGGGUGAAACGCCUAACCUCUCUGACCACUGCAAGCUCAGGUGUUCAGUAGAGUCUGUCUCAUCAGGAGGGCGAGCAUUUGGAGAGAGUGAACUCCACAGAAGACACAUGGUCUGUCUGCUUCCCUGCUAAAUCCACGGUAUGAAUGCUUGCAGGGACUGUGUCCCUUCUGGUAAUAAAUAAACAAAGAAUGGAGGGAGAAAACUUGUCUUAUUUUACUUCUUAUUUAUGAAAUCAAACCUUUCUGGAGAAGGAUUACAAGGAUGAAUGCUUGAAGCCAGGGAGACCUGCCGUCACUGGGGAACGCUCAACCUCAGAAGCCAGCAAUUAUUCUCUAUGGCUUCAACAAAGAACAGCUGCCCUUCAGAAGACAGAACCUGGGUGGAGACUUAAGCCAUGAAAAUAAAUAAUCUGGCUGUGUGCAGGGGCCCAAUCUGGAGGCUGAAGCCAAAGGAAGUAGAGUUUUGAGGGCAUUGUGAGUUACAUAGCAUGUUUGAGGCCGGCCGGAGCUACAUGGUAAGACCCGAUCUCCACAGAACAAAACAUGAAAAAGUAAAAUCAAAUAAUGUGCCUGGGGUGGUGUGUGGCAUAUAUGGUGUGGGGUAUGUGUGUGUACUGUGUGGUAUGUGGUGUGUAGGGAUGUGUGGCUGUGGUGUGUGUGUGUGUGGUGUUGGAAGGUGAGGGAUGUGGAGGGUAUGGAGUGUGUGUGGUAGGGGUGAUAUGAUGGGGUGUGGAGUCAGGGGAGUUGAAGGGGGAUAAUAUGUGUGUAUGUUCAGAUACCUAUGGAUGUCAUGGGCAGUUAAGAGAGAUUUGUAAACAACUUUUAAGGCACCAGCAGGCUUGAGAGAUGGCCUUACACAAGCAAGAGGAUCUGUCCUCUUCAUUGGGACCUAGACUCAGAAAGAGUUCUGUGACGAAUCCAGCUGACCAAGAAACCUGUGGAGGAGGAAGAGAAGGUAUUCCAAGCAGUGGAGUAAUCUGGGCAAAGUCAUGGAAUGAUGACAAAUUCUGGGACAUAGAGGUGACAGAGUCAGACUCCUGUGUGGUCCCUAUGCUAGUAAGGCAUAAUAGUGACCAGCUGAGAGGUAGACAACCUCAGGUGGUGUUAGACAAACCCAAGUUCAAGAACGGACACUGCACCAGUUCCAUCUUUCUGGCUUCACUCCCUGAAAAGCAAGGGCUGGGAGGAAGAUGGGAAGAAGUAUCCUCUCCCUCAGGGUGCCCUCGGCAAAGAUGGAGGAUAGCACCCAGAAGCUCUGAGGAGGCUUGUGUUUAAAGAGAAAACACUGAAACGGCUGUGUCUUUGCUUCAGCUUGCUUGAACCACAAUAUUUAUUUGGAAUUUGAAACUCAUUAAGAGUGGCUGUGAAGUGUUUACCCAGGGUAACUUGGGUUAUCAAGAGACUGAGAAAGUUUGACUGAAAUGACCCUGAAUCCCUUCUGAGCCUUCAGUGUGCCAGAGGUCUGCAACACAGGAAGCACAGGGAGACACUGUGAGACUUGGAAGUUGCUGUUGGUCUCCAACUCCAGCUCACACUUUGCCAUUCAGUCCCUGUGCAGGUUAAAGUCCUGGGAUAUCUGGAGUGUCAGAUGCUUCCUUCAUAACAACCUGGUAUCACAGACUUGUGGGCUUAUUUCAAAUAAGCAGUACUUGGCACAUAACAGGUCCCAGCCAAGUACAAAGCUGUGCACAAAGCUAGCCAAGGCUUCCCUCAGUAGCCUACUCCUUGGUCAGAAUAAGGUCCUUUUGAAUGCUUCCCAUGGGAUGUUCCCCUGCCCCCAAAUACACUAUCAGGUCUCGUUUAUAAGGAGAUAUAAUGUGGGUUUGGGCCUCAGAAUAUAGCUUCAAUGAAUUUUGGGAAUUUAGGUAUGUGCUUGGAACCACUCCAAGGUUAAAAAUCUUUUAAAAACUAAAGCAUUAUUAAAAUUAUCCUGAAAAUCUUA